rnacentral:rRNA from 1 species
GGAGUCUGGACCGUGUCUCAGUUCCAGUGUGGGGGACCUUCCUCUCAGAACCCCUAUCCAUCGUAGCCUUGGUGGGCCGUUGCCCCGCCAACUAGCUAAUGGAACGCAUCCCCAUCCCUUACCGAAUAACUCUUUGGUCAAGUGAAAAGGCUAUCGCUUGACAACAUCGGGGAUUAAUCCUACUUUCGCAGGGCUAUACCCGAGUAAGGGCCAGGUUGGAUACGCGUUACUCACCCGUGCGCCGGUCGCCAUCGACAAUAGCAAGCUAUCGUCAUGCUGCCCCUCGACUUGCAUGUGUUAAGCCUGUAGCUAGCGUUCAUC